rnacentral:rRNA from 1 species
UACGUAGGGCGCAAGCGUUUGUCCGGAAUUAUUGGGCGUAAAGAGCUCGUAGGUGGUUUGUCGCGUCUGUCGUGAAACGCCCAUGGCUUAACUGUGGGUCUGCGGUGGAUACGGGCAGGCUAGAGGCGAGGUAGGGGAGAACGGAAUUCCCGGUGUAGCGGUGAAAUGCGCAGAUAUCGGGAGGAACACCGGUGGCGAAGGCGGUUCUCUGGGCCUGUACUGACGCUGAGGGCGAAAGCGUGGGGAGCGAAACAGG